rnacentral:rRNA from 1 species
UGGGGAAUAUUGGACAAUGGGCGAAAGCCUGAUCCAGCCAUGCCGCGUGUGUGAAGAAGGACUUCGGAUUGUAAAGCACUUUAAGUUGGGAGGAAGGGCAUUAACCUAAUACGUUAGUGUUUUGACGUUACCGACAGAAUAAGCACCGGCUAACUCUGUGCCAGCAGCCGCGGUAAUACAGAGGGUGCAAGCGUUAAUCGGAAUUACUGGGCGUAAAGCGCGCGUAGGUGGUUUGUUAAGUUGGAUGUGAAAUCCCCGGGCUCAACCUGGGAACUGCAUUCAAAACUGACUGACUAGAGUAUGGUAGAGGGUGGUGGAAUUUCCUGUGUAGCGGUGAAAUGCGUAGAUAUAGGAAGGAACACCAGUGGCGAAGGCGACCACCUGGACUAAUACUGACACUGAGGUGCGAAAGCGUGGGGAGCAAACA